ACGGAGGGUGCAAGCGUUAAUCGGAAUUACUGGGCGUAAAGCGCACGUAGGUGGUUUGUUAAGUCAGCUGUGAAAUCCCCGGGCUCAACCUGGGCACUGCAGUUGAAACUGGCAAGCUAGAGUAGGGUAGAGGGGUGUGGAAUUCCAGGUGUAGCGGUGAAAUGCGUAGAUAUCUGGAGGAACAUCAGUGGCGAAGGCGACACCCUGGACUCAUACUGACACUGAGGUGCGAAAGCGUGGGGAGCAAACAGG
rnacentral:rRNA from 1 species